CAGUAAAUAUCUUCAGUAAAAAGCAAGGUCC
rnacentral:piRNA from 1 species